rnacentral:rRNA from 1 species
AGAGUUUGAUCCUGGCUCAGGAUGAACGCUAGCUACAGGCUUAACACAUGCAAGUCGAGGGGAAACGACAUCGAAAGCUUGCUUUUGAUGGGCGUCGACCGGCGCACGGGUGAGUAACGCGUAUCCAACCUGCCCAUCACUUGGGGAUAACCUUGCGAAAGUAAGACUAAUACCCAAUGACGUCUCUAGAAGACAUCUGAAAGAGAUUAAAGAUUUAUCGGUGAUGGAUGGGGAUGCGUCUGAUUAGCUUGGUUGCGGGGUAACGGCCACCAAGGCGACGAUCAGUAGGGGUUCUGAGAGGAAGGUCCCCCACAGUUGGAACUGAGACACGGUCCAAACGUCCUACGGGAGGCCA